rnacentral:rRNA from 1 species
UACGUAGGUGGCGAGCGUUGUCCGGAUUUACUGGGCGUAAAGGGAGCGUAGGCGGAUUUUUAAGUGAGAUGUGGAAUACUCGGGCUCAACUUGAGUGCUGCAUUUCAAACUGGAAGUCUAGAGUGCAGGAGAGGAGAAUGGAAUUCCUAGUGUAGCGGUGAAAUGCGUAGAGAUUAGGAAGAACACCAGUGGCGAAGGCGAUUCUCUGGACUGCAACUGACGCUGAGGCUCGAAAGCGUGGGGAGCAAACAGG